rnacentral:rRNA from 1 species
UACGGAGGGUGCGAGCGUUGUCCGGAAUCACUGGGCUUAAAGGGCGCGUAGGCGGGCGGUCAAGUCUGUGGUGAAAUCCUUCGGCUCAACCGGAGAAUAGCUGGAGAUACUGGCCGUCUCGAGGGGGGUAGGGGCAUGUGGAACUUCCGGUGGAGCGGUGAAAUGCGUAGAUAUCGGAAGGAACACCAGUGGCGAAAGCGGCUUCCUGGUCCAGCACCGACGUUCAGGCACGAAAGCGUGGGGAGCAAACAGG